rnacentral:tRNA from 1 species
GAUAAGAUGGCUGAUGAAGGCGGUAAAUUGUAAAUUUAUUUAUGAAGAUAUUCUCUUGUCA